rnacentral:rRNA from 1 species
UACGUAUGGGGCAAGCGUUAUCCGGAUUUACUGGGUGUAAAGGGAGCGCAGGCGGCCUGGCAAGCCUGAUGUGAAAUACCGGGGCCCAACCCCGGGGCUGCAUUGGGAACUGCCAGGCUGGAGUGCCGGAGAGGCAGGCGGAACUCCUAGUGUAGCGGUGAAAUGCGUAGAUAUUAGGAGGAACACCAGUGGCGAAGGCGGCUUACUGGACGGCAACUGACGCUGAGGCUCGAAAGCGUGGGGAGCAAACAGG